UUCAGUCGACGGGCCCGGGAUCCGAUUAAGGAGGUGAUCCAGCCGCAGGUUCUCCUACGGCUACCUUGUUACGACUUCACCCCAAUCACUAAUCCCACCUUCGGCCGCUGGCUCCUUUCGGUUACCUCACGGACUUCGGGUGUUACCAGCUCUCAUGGUGUGACGGGCGGUGUGUACAAGGCCCGGGAACGUAUUCACCGCGACAUUCUGAUUCGCGAUUACUAGCAACUCCAACUUCAUGUAGGCGAGUUUCAGCCUACAAU
rnacentral:rRNA from 1 species